UACGGGGGGAGCAAGCGUUGUUCGGAUUUACUGGGCGUAAAGGGCGCGUAGGCGGCGCAACAAGUCACUUGUGAAAUCUCCGGGCUUAACUCGGAGCGGCCAAGUGAUACUGUCGUGCUAGAGUGCGGAAGGGGCAACUGGAAUUCUCGGUGUAGCGGUGAAAUGCGUAGAUAUCGAGAGGAACACCUGCGGCGAAGGCGGGUUGCUGGGCUGACACUGACGCUGAGGCGCGAAAGCUAGGGGAGCGAACGGG
rnacentral:rRNA from 1 species